AGAAAGGCCAAGUUUAAUCUCGUCUUCCUUAAACUAUGGCAAGAUGCAUGCUCCUCUUGGCUUAUACCAGAACUGACAGUGGGAAGUAACUACUAAUGAGCAGCCUUUUCUGAAAAUGAUGAGUAGCCCUCUGUAAUCUACAGGACAUAGCAGUCAGCCUGGGCAGUGACCUGUUCAAAUUUAAGCUUUGGGAAUCUCCCAGGCUUUGGGAAUUUCCCAGAUGCCUCCCAGAUAGCAGGAAGUUUGUGACGUAUGAGAAAAACAUCUCGACAUGGCUCCUAAAGAGAUUGGCUGGAAAGGAAACUCUUCUUCAUCAUAGACGCUCUUGGCAGAUUUUUUACAGGACAAUAGAAGAGAAACACAAAGUGCAGAAGGAAGGAUGUAAACCAAGAGGAAGCAGGAAAAAAGGAUGGAGUAAGACAGAGAGGCAGAAAGAAGGACUAACUGCCACAAAGCAGAUGUGACUGUGGAAACAAACCCAUCAAAUGACAGAGGGAGAUACAUUGAGACAUCUCUGCGGAUGCAGAUUUGCUGCAAGAGCUGUUCACUCUGUAGUUCCACUCUUCUGACAGCAUCUUCUGCUGCACAGUGUUGUCCUCAUGUUCAAUGUUUCUUGUUCAAUGGACACCACAGGUGAAGGCAGGCAAUGGCAAAUGUGUAUGAGUUCAGUUAUUCAAGACACAAAAAUCUUGCACCAUGUUGUACCUUACAGUUCAAAUGAGUGAAGCACUAGGUGAAAAAUGAAAGCAGUCUCUUUCUUUCUUUCUGUUCCUGUCUUUUACAAUUGGAUGUUUUGGGUAACAAAGAACAGGAUGUAGUGCGGAAACCACCAUAACUUUUUGAGGUUAAAUCCCUGGCACCUACAAAAUCAAUAACAUUUAUUAGAAAUACAGGGUCUUGCGCAGGGCUUGUUUUUUGACCCAUUUCACUGGUUUGUUCCUUUUAUAUUAAAAGUGUAUCCAUCAAA